rnacentral:rRNA from 1 species
GAUGAACGCUGGCGGCGUGCCUAAUACAUGCAAGUCGAGCGAACGGACGAGAAGCUUGCUUCUCUGAUGUUAGCGGCGGACGGGUGAGUAACACGUGGAUAACCUACCUAUAAGACUGGGAUAACUUCGGGAAACCGGAGCUAAUACCGGAUAAUAUUUUGAACCGCAUGGUUCAAAAGUGAAAGACGGUCUUGCUGUCACUUAUAGAUGGAUCCGCGCUGCAUUAGCUAGUUGGUAAGGUAACGGCUUACCAAGGCAACGAUGCAUAGCCGACCUGAGAGGGUGAUCGGCCACCCUGGAACUGAGACACGGUCCAGACCCCUACGGGAGGCAGCAGUAGGGAAUCUUCCGCAAUGGGCGAAAGCCUGACGGAGCAACGCCGCGUGAGUGAUGAAGGUCUUCGGAUCGUAAAACUCUGUUAUUAGGGAAGAACAUAUGUGUAAGUAACUGUGCACAUCUUGACGGUACCUAAUCAGAAAGCCACGGCUAACUACGU